rnacentral:pre_miRNA from 17 species
GGGUCUCUCUAGGUAGACCAGAUCUGAGCCCGAGUGCUCUCUGGCUAUCCAGGGAACCCAC